UUGAAUAUAUUGCGAACAUACGAUGCUAGAGCUAACUUAAACAGAAAAUUUGAAUUGUGGGCAUGACAUGCGUAAAUGAAAACAAAUUAGGUUUGGGUUCUAAAGCUUGCAUUUUAGGAAGUAAUUCUUCAUCUGGCUAUUUACCCACCUCUUAAUUUCGCUCGGCAUAAAGAGCCGCCCUUUCAAGCUUUUCUACUUCAGCAUCCCGGAUUGCAGAGAAAGAAGCAUGAUCGGAAGAUGGACCGAGAGUGUAAAUAUCAUGUUUAGUCCACAUCUAUUGCCAGCAUCACGUUGAUUAACAACGAAAAGUUAUUCGAGAAGGAUGGAAAGGAAGAAGCGGAAGGUUUAAGUUCGCUGUAGUUUAAUAUUCGCAAGGUAGAUGAUAGAAAAUUCAUGGAGUGGGAGGAAUAAAAAAAUGAGCUUCAUCUAACUGUGCUAAGUGCUUAGACUAUAGGUUUUUUAAUAAUUCUUUUUCUGA